rnacentral:rRNA from 1 species
CAGUCGCCGCGGGAAUACGAAGGGUGCAAGCGUUAAUCGGAAUUACUGGGCGUAAAGCGUGCGUAGGCGGUGAGUUAAGUCUGCUGUGAAAUCCCCGGGCUCAACCUGGGAAUGGCAGUGGAUACUGGCUCGCUAGAGUGUGUCAGAGGAUGGUGGAAUUCCCGGUGUAGCGGUGAAAUGCGUAGAGAUCGGGAGGAACAUCAGUGGCGGAGGCGGCCAUCUGGGACAACACUGACGCUGAGGCACGAAAGCGUGGGGAGCAAACAGGAUUAGAUACCCCCGUAGUCCCUGUCUCUUAUAC